UACGUAGGGACCAAGCGUUGUCCGGAAUCAUUGGGCGUAAAGAGCGUGUAGGCGGCCUGUUAAGUCUUGCGUGAAAUCUCGGGGCUCAACCCCGAGCGGUCGUGAGAAACUGGCAGGCUAGAGUGCGGGAGAGGAGAGUGGAAUUCCUGGUGUAGCGGUGAAAUGCGCAGAUAUCAGGAAGAACACCCGUGGCGAAGGCAGCUCUCUGGGACGGUACUGACGCUGAGACGCGAAAGCGUGGGGAGCGAACAGG
rnacentral:rRNA from 1 species